rnacentral:rRNA from 1 species
CCGCACAAGCGGUGGAGCAUGUUGGUUAAUUCGAAGCAACGCGAAGAACCUUACCAGGUCUUGACAUCCCGAUGCUAUUUCUAGAGAUAGAAAGUUACUUCGGUACAUCGGUGACAGGUGGUGCAUGGUUGUCGUCAGCUCGUGUCGUGAGAUGUUGGGUUAAGUCCCGCAACGAGCGCAACCCCUAUUGUUAGUUGCCAUCAUUCAGUUGGGCACUCUAGCGAGACUGCCGGUAAUAAACCGGAGGAAGGUGGGGAUGACGUCAAAUCAUCAUGCCCCUUAUGACCUGGGCUACACACGUGCUACAAUGGUUGGUACAACGAGUUGCGAGUCGGUGACGGCGAGCUAAUCUCUUAAAGCCAAUCUCAGUUCGGAUUGUAGGCUGCAACUCGCCUACAUGAAGUCGGAAUCGCUAGUAAUCGCGGAUCAGCACGCCGCGGUCGAAUACGUUCCCGGGCCUU